GACGAACGCUGGCGGCAUGCCUAAUACAUGCAAGUCGAGCGGAGUUGAUGGAAAGCUUGCUUUCCUGAUACUUAGUGGCGGACGGGUGAGUAACACGUAGGCAACCUGCCCUCAAGCUUGGGACAACUACCGGAAACGGUAGCUAAUACCGAAUACUUGUUUUCUUCGCCUGAAGAGAACUGGAAAGACGGAGCAAUCUGUCACUUGGGGAUGGGCCUGCGGCGCAUUAGCUAGUUGGUGAGGUAACGGCUCACCAAGGCGACGAUGCGUAGCCGGCCUGGGAGGGUGAUCGGCCACACUGGGACUGAGACACGGCCCAGACUCCUACGGGAGGCAGCAGUAGGGAAUCUUCCGCAAUGGGCGAAAGCCUGACGGAGCAAUGCCGCGUGAGUGAUGAAGGUUUUCGGAUCGUAAAGCUCUGUUGCCAGGGAAGAACGCUUGGGAGAGUAACUGCUCCCAAGGUGACGGUACCUGAGAAGAAAGCCCCGGCUAACUACGUGCCAGCCGCCGCGGUAA
rnacentral:rRNA from 1 species